rnacentral:rRNA from 1 species
GACGAACGCUGGCGGCGUGCCUAAUACAUGCAAGUAGGACGCAGUCGCGAACGUGUGAGUAACGCGUAGGUAACUACCUAUUAGAGGGGGAUAACUACUGGAAACGAUAGCUAAUACCGCCUACUAGUAGAUGGACCUGCGUUGUAUUAGCUCGUAGGUAGGGUAAUGGCCUCCCUAGGCAAAGAUACAUAGCCGACCUGGAAGGGUGGACGGCCACCCUGGGAAUGGGAAACGGGCCAAGCUCCUAAGGGAGGCAACAGUAGGGAAACUUCGGCAAUGGGGGGAACCCUGACCGAGCAACGCCCCGGGGGUGGAGGAAGGUUUCGGAUCGUAAAGCUCUGUUGUUAAGGGAGCGGUACUUAACCAGAAAGGGACGGCUAACUACGUGCCAGCAGCCGCGGUAAUUC